CGAAUGGCAACUUAGUGUGAAUACGUUUUGUUUAUAGGAUAGUGACUUAGGUACUCACUACGAUGCAAUAUUUGUAAAUGCUUGUUUUAAAUAGAAGUGCACCAAGGUCUCACAUGAGGUGAGCCGGCCGGCGGGACGCUCGCCGCGCCGUCGCCGCGCCGCCGCCACGCCGCGCCGCGCGACGCCUCUGACGCCAGUGUUCGUAGCGAGGGAGUAUCACCCUGAAUUUUGGGGUAAAAUUAUCCCCUUAAGCUGACAACCGCACUCGCCGCCCGUCGCCUGCCGCUAUACCCUGGCGCCCUAGCAUCAGAUCGGAUAUGCACUUCUUAGAUUUAUUUCGGGGAUAUGGGGUGUGUUAAUUUGGAGGGAAACUAUGCUGAUUGAUCGACGGGAGGGUGACAACCCACUUCUGAUAUUUGGAAAAUGACGUUUCGUUUUGUAAACAUUAAAAAAUAUACUUUUAAUGCCUUGUUAAUAACAUUAGUUACACAAUUUAAGUUUUUUGACAUCGAUUAAGAGCCAAUAAAUAAAUCACCUUUAUGUAAGCAAAUAUUUAUUGUAUAGCAAUAUAUGUAAAUACUUUUAAGUUCUAAAUAAUUUGGCGUCGCCACACUAGCCCGCAAUAUUGGAGGUUUUGAGUUCGAUUCCUAGCGCUUGCAUUAAAUGUGUAGUACUUAUUUCCUUGCAUCUAUAAUAAAAUAUAUGUUCCUACUUAAACUAAAACACAGACAAGCGUGCGUCCGUGACUGUACAGUCUAAAAAUCUGUAUAAUACUAUGAUAUGGGAAAAUCACACACUUACUUAUGUAAUGUGUGCUCUCUUUGUUUUUUUAUAUUUAUUUGUGCUACUGUGUCUGUCUGUAUUUGUGUUGUUGUCUUUACAA